rnacentral:rRNA from 1 species
UGAGAGGAAGGUCCCCCACAUUGGAACUGAGACACGGUCCAAACUCNUACGGGAGGCAGCAGUGAGGAAUAUUGGUCAAUGGACGAUGGCCUGGACCAGCCAAGUAGCGUGAAGGAUGACUGCCCUAUGGGUUGUAAACUUCUUUUAUAAAGGAAUAAAGUCGUGGUAUGCAUACCCGUUUGCAUGUACUAUAUGAAUAAGGAUCGGCUAACUCCGUGCCAGCAGCCGCGGUAAUACGGAGGAUCCGAGCGUUAUNCCGGAUUUAUUGGGUUUAAAGGGAGCGUAGAUGGAUGUUUAAGUCAGUUGUGAAAGUUUGCGGCUCAACCGUAAAAUUGCAGUUGAUANCUGGAUGUCUUGAGUGCAGUAGAGGCAGGCGGAAUUCUGGUGUAGCGGUGAAAUGCUUAGAUAUCACGAAGAACUCCGAUUGCGAAGGCAGCUU